ACGGGUGCGUAACGCGUGGGAAUCUGCCCUUUGGUUCGGAAUAACAGCUGGAAACGGCUGCUAAUACCGGAUGAUGACGAAAGUCCAAAGAUUUAUCGCCAGAGGAUGAGCCCGCGUUGGAUUAGGUAGUUGGUGGGGUAAAGGCCUACCAAGCCGACGAUCCAUAGCUGGUCUGAGAGGAUGAUCAGCCACACUGGGACUGAGACACGGCCCAGACUCCUACGGGAGGCAGCAGUGGGGAAUAUUGGACAAUGGGCGAAAGCCUGAUCCAGCAAUGCCGCGUGAGUGAUGAAGGCCCUAGGGUUGUAAAGCUCUUUUACCCGGGAAGAUAAUGACUGUACCGGGAGAAUAAGCCCCGGCUAACUCCGUGCCAGCAGCCGCGGUAAUACGAAGGGGGCUAGCGUUGUUCGGAAUCACUGGGCGUAAAGCGCACGUAGGCGGACUUUUAAGUCAGAGGUGAAAGCCUGGAGCUCAACUUCAGAACUGCCUUUGAUACUGGAAGUCUUGAGUCCGGUAGAGGUGAGUGGAACUGCUAGU
rnacentral:rRNA from 1 species